rnacentral:rRNA from 1 species
UACAGAGGGUGCAAGCGUUAAUCGGAAUUACUGGGCGUAAAGAGCACGUAGGCGGAAUAUUAAGUCGGAUGUGAAAUCCCUGGGCUCAACCUAGGAAUUGCAUUCGAAACUGAUAUUCUAGAGUAUGGUAGAGGAAAGUGGAAUUCCCGGUGUAGCGGUGAAAUGCGUAGAUAUCGGGAAGAACAUCAGUGGCGAAGGCGGCUUUCUGGACCAAUACUGACGCUGAGGUGCGAAAGCGUGGGGAGCAAACAGG